rnacentral:rRNA from 1 species
GAGGUGGCAAGCGUUGUCCGGAAUUAUUGGGCGUAAAGCGCGCGCAGGCGGUUCUUUAAGUCUGAUGUGAAAGCCCACGGGCUCAACCGUGGAGGGUCAUUGGAAACUGGAGAACUUGAGUACAGAAGAGGAAAGCGGAAUUCCACGUGUAGCGGUGAAAUGCGUAGAGAUGUGGAGGAACACCAGUGGCGAAGGCGGCUUUCUGGUCUGUAACUGACGCUGAGGCGCGAAAGCGUGGGGAGCAAACAGGAUUAGAUACCCUGGUAGUCCACGCCGUAAACGAUGAGUGCUAAGUGUUAGGGGGGUUUCCGCCCCUUAGUGCUGCAGCUAACGCAUUAAGCACUCCGCCUGGGGAGUACGGCCGCAAGGCUGA